rnacentral:rRNA from 1 species
CGUUUUCACCCUCGGGUGACAGGGAGACAGGUGGUGCAUGGUUGUCGUCAGCUCGUGUCGUGAGAUGUUGGGUUAAGUCCCGCAACGAGCGCAACCCCUACGUUUAGUUGCUAACGCGUGAAGGCGAGCACUCUAGACGAACUGCCGUUGACAAAACGGAGGAAGGUGGGAUGACGUCAAAUCAUCAUGCCCCUUAUGUUCUGGGCUACACACGUGCUACAAUGGCCGGUACAGACGGACGCAAAGCCGCGAGGUGGAGCAAAUCCUAAAAAGCCGGUCUCAGUUCGGAUUGCAGGCUGCAAUUCGCCUGCAUGAAGUCGGAAUCGCUAGUAAUCGCAGGUCAGCAUACUGCGGUGAAUACGUUCCCGGGCCUU